rnacentral:lncRNA from 1 species
CAAUGGUAUUUUUGAUAUCUAGAGGGUGAUAAGGGAGGAAUGAGAUAAAAUAUCCCAAUAAACAAUAUUAUGAAUCAUAACAUAGUACAUGCAAUAUAUGGUUUCUUUACACACAACAAAACAUAUAUCUCAUAAUCUUUCUAAAACAGAUAUACGGAUCAUAAGACGAAUGCACAAAUCAGAAAACAGAUUCACAAUUGCUUCGUUGUAUACUUCGUCACUAUUAUGGAGGAUCAAUCAGUUAUUAUAUAUUAUGCAUGGACAUACAUACUUAUCACUAAUUCCCUAUGUACCCAAGUAUGAAACUUCAUACAUGAGUACCUUGAAAC